CUCUUAUGGUGUCGCAGUUCUUUAUCUAAUCGGCAACGCCGCCACCAGCGUUGUCAACCCACCUGUGGAAAUGGAGGAGGUGAGUGGUGAGAAAAAGAGUGUGGAGGAGAUUGGGCAAGAGGAGGCCUGGUUGAAGCGAGGCAGAGACGAUCAAGUUAAGAUUCAUAUGUCGAUUUGGGCUUGCGAAAGUGCAUUCACUCAGGUGGAAUGGGAACAAAAAAGGGUCUAUGUGAUUGAAACACGCCAUUUUCAGACUUGACCCUACCUUCAUCAAGAUUGGGCAGCAGUUCUCCGAUGAAUGGACAUUCUAGCUCAAGAAUACGUUGAUCAGCUAUCAGAGCUUCAAGAUGAAGUUCCUUCAUUUCCUUCAGAAACUGCAGUAGCAAUAAUCGAGGAAGAACUUGGGGCUCCCGUGAAUGAUGUAUUUGAAAGAUUCAACCCUGGGCCAAUUGCUGCUGCAAGUCUUGGAAUCGAAUGUCGUGAUGCCAAAACGUCCUGGUCAUGGACUAACAACGCGAGUACAUGUAUCGUCCUGGAAACUUGCUGUCAACGAUUUCAAUGGUGGAAGAUUGAUCUUCUAUGACUUUGGAAUGAUGGGAAGCAUAAGCCGAAACAUCAGAGAAGGCUUGCCUGAUGUAUUUUACAGAGUUUAUCAGAAACAUCGCAAAAAGGUGGUUAUCUCUAAUUUUGUAGUACAAUCUUUGUGUCUUAUUCAAUAAGUUACAUGUAUGUUUCGAUGUGUUUUAGCCUGUUCAGGAUCUUCAAGUGAUGGUCCCGAUGCGUGUUCUAGUCCCAACCGGAGAUAUGACAGCUAUGAGCCGAACACCUUAGUUCUUCCUUCAAAGUGUUUUGACACAAAAUGCAUUUUACAUACAGCAUUAUUAAGAUUCAGAGAGGACAUUGCUGACUUGACACCAUAAACAUAUACACAAAGUUGAGAACAUUUCUCAGGUUCUACUUGCUUUUUGGUGCUAUUUAAAUAUAUUUUGAUGAUAUAAUUCCUCUAUCACCGGCUUGAAACUGCCCUAACUCGAUCCACACGAGCAGCCUGUAUGUCGGGCUUGAAGUGUGGUGCAGACGACGUUAGGACUCACCUACUAACUACGCGCAUUUGUUAUGUUUUUCUAAUCCAUGUUCUUGACCCUCAAGAGUCCAUUUUUUACUCAAAAUAUUUGUUCUAGUUUGUAGAUUAUACAUACACAUGUAUUAUUACUGAAUAGUUUUGACAAUCUGUGACUAGUAAUGCAAAAGGUGUUGAGAAUCCUUUUUGGAGAUUGUUUAAUGGCUUAAUUGGGUGGAGCAUACACAACUUAGACUGAAGAGAUUGAGCUGUAAAAUGAUGGAUGUCCAUGUGCUCAAUAAUUUUAAAUUUUUAAUAUUUCUUAAAGUUGUCAAAUUUUAAUAUUUGUAUAAAUUUAUGCAUCUAUUUGGCGGAUGAGUGAACGCUACAGAAUUUUAUUUUUUAUAAUAA